UUGUAAAAAGUAUUGAUGCCAUCAGCCGUUGAUUUUAUUGGCCUUCGAUGAGUGUGGACAUUAGAAAUUGGGUAGGUAAUCAAUGAAUAUUUGAUGUGGACAUGCAUAGCAUUACAACAUGAAUCUUUUUUUAGGUCAAACACUGUGCAGCCUGCCAAGCAAACCAAGCUGACAUAAAAAAACAUGCAGAUUAUACACCAAUUGAGGUGGUUGAGCCAUGGGAGAUUGUGGGAAUGGAUUUAGUGGGAAAGCGCACACCAACAAAAGAUGGGUACCGGUAUAUCUGUGUUAUGGUGGACUAUCUGACUAAGUGGUGUGAGGCUUUCCCACUAAAGGCCAAAAGUGCUGAGGAGGUCACAGACUGUAUUGUGAAACUGUUCUACAAAUUUGGGGCCCCCAAAAGGCUAUUAACUGACCAGGGCAAAGAAUUUGUGAACAAGGUCAAUAUGGGUGUCUGUCAGCUGCUGGGAAUUAAAAGGAGUUUGUGUGCACCAUACCACCCACAAACCAAUGGUCUAAAUGUAAGGCUGAAUUGCACAAUAUAGAG